GGCGUAUCGCUCCAACGUCAACGAAGAGUAAAAAAUGUGUGAUUCACCGUAAUAACAGUUUGUGUUUUUGAACUGUAAAAGAUAAUUUAAUUUCAACCAUACCACAUGUUAAAAUGUUCAGUAAAGUUGAUGCCAAAAAGAAAAAUGAUCUAUUGGAUAAGGCUAAGGUCGCCCGUGAAGAGAGGGCACAUCAGAAGAACAAAGAAACGGUGAUAAUAGCCAUACAGGCUGUUGUAAGAGGAUAUCUAAUUAGAUGUCAAAUUAGACGUCAAAUUACAAGUGAGCUUCAACAAAUUGUUGACACUGUUCAACUGGAAGAUGGCAAAGUGGCCAAACCCAAAUUUAG